rnacentral:rRNA from 1 species
AUGAUCUGCUUCAAUUGCAGUUGGCCUGGUCACUAUGUGGAGAAUUGUGUGGAGCCAAAAAACUGCUUUAUCUGUGUUGGGAAUCAUAAUGUUAACAACGGUGCUGCAUGGGCGAAACCACAGCUGGCUCUCACUUACUUUGGUAGUGCUGCAUCAGGGCUAGGGUUCUAUCAUAUCGAGGUUCCUGUGGUGGUUGAAUCUAGUUGGCUUAACUAUAAGAAUUGUGUUGUUCUCAAGGUGGUUAAAGGUGAGGUUUCUGCCUCGGAUCUGUUGACACAACUUAAUGGGAUCUUUUGUAAGAACAUGGAGUGUUCGUGA